CAAAGAGUAGUUUAGUUUAGAAUUUUAGCUUUGGGAGCUAAUGGUAAGAGUUAAAAUCUCUUCUCUUUGA
rnacentral:tRNA from 1 species